GACAGAGGGUGCAAACGUUGUUCGGAGUUACUGGGCGUAAAGCGCGUGUAGGCGGCCAUGCAAGUCGGAUGUGAAAGCCCUCGGCUCAACCGGGGAAGUGCACUCGAAACUGCAAGGCUAGAGUCUCGGAGAGGAUCGUGGAAUUCUCGGUGUAGAGGUGAAAUUCGUAGAUAUCGAGAGGAACACCGGUGGCGAAGGCGGCGAUCUGGACGAUGACUGACGCUGGAGACGCGAAAGCGUGGGAGCAAACAGG
rnacentral:rRNA from 1 species